CAAUGAGUGUUUUAUGGCACUCUUUAAAAAUCCAUAUCCACCUUGUGUGCAAUGUUUGUUGGGAGAGAGGCAACUCUUUCCCUUCACAAAUAUCAACCUAUAUCUUUUAACUCUUUGUCUGAAAAAUAUUAUGAAUAAACAAUUCAAAAUA
rnacentral:misc_RNA from 1 species